rnacentral:rRNA from 1 species
CAGCCGUAAACUAUGCUCGCUAGGUGUCAGGCAUGGCGCGACCGUGUCUGGUGCCGCAGGGAAGCCGUGAAGCGAGCCACCUGGGAAGUACGGCCGCAAGGCUGAAUCUUAAAGGAAUUGGCGGGGGAGCACAACAACGGGUGGAGCCUGCGGUUUAAUUGGACUCAACGCCGGACAACUCACCGGGGACGACAGCAAUAUGUAGGCCAGGCUGAAGACCUUGCCUGAAUCGCUGAGAGGAGGUGCAUGGCGUAGACGUCU